rnacentral:lncRNA from 1 species
GUUGUUUAAUUAAAUAAACGUGUGAAGUUAACUUCAAGAAUGCCCUGUGUCCCAAGAAGAUGAGAUUGAAGGAGCGCAGUCCCUGUAGGUGGGCAGCGCUCUCAGAAGGGCGGUCCUGUCCCCUCCCAACUCAACCUGGUGGGAGAGGCUGGGGAGCCCCUGUAGGAAGCCACACAUCCUCUGGCAGCCUCUUCAGUGAGGCAGUUAGAGACCAGGGCUGAGCCAGUGGCUGGUGGAUGGCCGACCUCCCACCCAAGAGCCCUGUGUCUGCGUGUACGGAUUAACCCACAGGACUGCCAGGCUCGGCUCGGGCGGCCCCUGUGGCCCCCAGGUCAGGGACCAGGCCAGCGUCCCGAUGAAGGCUCUGCCUCGUCACAAAGCAGUUUGGCAGUGCAAGGCCAGGGCCUCCGCUCUCUUCAGUUGGACAAUUGCUGAGCGGCCCUCCUGAGUUUCGCUCCGAGUUCCUUUCUGCUUCGACCUUGGCCUGCUCUCCUUCUGCCCCAGGGAAUUCUCGCGAUAGAAGAGGAAGGGGCGGGACUUCCGGCACCAGAGACAGGAAGAGAAACUGCAGAGUGGGAUUCGGUGCAGGCUGCGUCCUCCUGGCUGCAGCUGAAGUAGGUACAGUGCUCCCGCAGCCGCGAGAUGAAGGAAAAGCUCAAAAUGGAGGUACUGUGUGGUCGCUGCUGGGGAACUGUCCACAACUGCAGCCCACUGAGCGGCUUCACAAGCCUGCUUAUCUGAGGAGCAGUGUGCAAGGCAGGAGGCACGGGCAAGACGCAGAAUCCAGGAUUAGGCCCAGGCCCGCCUAAUCGGCACCUCGGGUGUUCAGCGUGGGAGUGGGGGUCUCACCCGCCUCCUUGGGUGAGGAGCUCGGAUGUGAACAGAUCUCGCAGCACUCAGGCAAACGUGAUCAUGCCAGCAAAGGGGCCCUGCUGCAGGUGCCAGCCAUUGUGUCCCCAGCACACGCGUGUGAACACAGUGUGCACGGUGAGAAGAGCCAGCAAAGCACCACCCUGGUACCCUCGCAGUCCUGCACCCUCAGCAGCAGGUGGUCCUGCCGCAGUCACCCCCAGAAGUCUGCACACAAGACUCGGUGAUUGGAAAGAACACUCAGAAGCUGGAUCCCCUAAGAACACACAGAUACCCACAAGCACUGCGGAGUGUGUUAUCAGAACAGUUCGGAGCAGUUGUGUUCUUAUGUUACUUCAAAAUAUUUGGCAAGAUUAAGAUCAUCAUUAUUUCUGCCAUUAGCUUUUUGAUGAUGUGAUAAUCAUUAUUCAUUGAGAGCCCCCAAUCAGGUAGAUACAGAGGAAAAGUGCUUGCUGCUCCUCACACGUUUAGUGGGGACUCCGACAGUGUGACCCCGGGGACGGCACGGGCGCCCACACCAGUCCCUUCUGCUUCCCAGAGUUAACUCGGACCGACCCAGCCCAGCUAAUUCUCCAUAAUGGAGACUUGUUCAGUGACGUC